rnacentral:rRNA from 1 species
UACGAGGACGACGCUGGCGGCGUGCCUAACACAUGCAAGUCGAACGGACGAGGGGAGCUUGCUCCCCGAGUUAGUGGCGAACGGGUGAGUAACGCGUGAGAAACCUGCCUUUCAGUGGGGGACAACAGUUGGAAACGGCUGCUAAUACCGCAUAAUGUGCCGGGAGGGCAUCCUCCUGGUACCAAAGCUUUAUGUGCUGAAAGAUGGUCUCGCGUCUGAUUAGCUAGUUGGUGAGGUAACGGCUCACCAAGGCGACGAUCAGUAGCCGGUCUGAGAGGAUGAACGGCCACAUUGGGACUGAGAUACGGCCCAGACUCCUACGGGAGGCAGCAGUGGGGGAUAUUGCACAAUGGGGGAAACCCUGAUGCAGCAACGCCGCGUGAGGGAAGAAGGUUUUCGGAUUGUAAACCUCUGUUUUUAGUGAAGAAACAAAUGACGGUAGCUAAAGAGGAAGCCACGGCUAACUACGUG